rnacentral:rRNA from 1 species
AUGAGUCGACCUGAUGGGAUCAACAUCCUCGACGACAAGUUCUACCUUGGAGAUGCUGGCUAUGCAUGUCGGUCGGGUAUUCUUCCACCCUCCAGGAAAACUAGGCACCAUCUCAACGAGUUCUCUGGUAGGAACUAUCCUAUGACUGCACAUAAGCUGUUUAAUCUCAAACACUCCAGCCUUAGAGUAACUGUUGAGAGGAUUGGAGCUUUGAAGAAUAUGUUUAAGAUCCUGGAUCAGAAGCCAUUCCAUCCAUACUCCACUCAGGUUAAGCUUGUUCUUGCUUGUUGCAUUCUGCAUAACUGGAUCCUCUGGUAG